UACGGGGGGGGGCAAGCGUUGUUCGGAAUUACUGGGCGUAAAGGGCUUGUAGGUGGCCAACUAAGUCAGACGUGAAAUCCCUCGGCUUAACCGGGGAACUGCGUCUGAUACUGGAUGGCUUGAGUGUGGGAGAGGGAUGCGGAAUUCCAGGUGUAGCGGUGAAAUGCGUAGAUAUCGAGAGGAACACCAGUGGCGAAGGCGAGUCCCUGGACAACACCUGACACUGAGGCACGAAAGCUAGGGGAGCAAACAGG
rnacentral:rRNA from 1 species